rnacentral:tmRNA from 1 species
GGGGCCGAUUAGGAUUCGACGCCGGUAAUGAAACUUUAGGUGCAUGCCGAGUUGGUAACAGAACUCGUAAAUCCACUGUUGCGACUUUUAUAGUUGCCAAUGACGAAAACUACGGUGCUCAACUAGCUGCGUAAGCAGCCUAGCCGCACUUCUGGUAGCCUCGGCUCCAGCAAUCAUCAGGGGAUGCCUGUAAACCCAAAAUGAUUGUCAUAUAGAACAGGAUCGUCGCCUAGUACGUUGUGGACGAAGCGACUAAAACUUACGCAACUCGCCCAAAGCACCCUGCCAGUCGGGUCGCCACGGGUUAACUUAAUAGACAUGGAUACGCAUGUAGUACCGACAGCGGAGUACUGGCGGACGGGGGUUCAAGUCCCCCCGGCUCCACCA